AUCCUUUUGCAGGUCACAAGCAUGAUGAUUGGGGGUUCCCACUCACAUGUGACAUGUGCCUCCCUUAAAUCUUGUUAUGACAUCAGCCUGUUACCUGUCAGACA
ensembl:snoRNA